rnacentral:rRNA from 1 species
UAAAAAGCUCGUAGUUGGAUCUGUGUAUCGGACGGCCGGUUCGCUGCUCGCAGCGUUUUACUGGUCGGUCCGGACGUCCUGCCGGUGGGCGUCCGCGCAAGCGGGCGUCCGUACUACCCUCCGGGCUGCUCUUAACCGGGUGGCCCGGUGGGCCGGCACGUUUACUUUGAACAAAUUUGAGUGCUCAAAGCAGGCCUUUGGUCGCCUGAAAACUGUGUGCAUGGAAUAAUGGAAUAGGGCCUCGGUUCUAUUUUGUUGGCUUUUCUGAACUUGAGGUAAUGAUUAAUAGGGACAGACGGGGGCAUUCGUAUUGCGACGUUAGAGGUGAAAUUCUUGGAUCGUCGCAAGACGAACGGAUGCGAAAGCGUUUGCCAAGAAUGUUUUCGCUAAUCAAGAACGAAAGUUAGAGGUUCGAAGGCGAUCAGAUACCGCCCUAGUUCUAACCAUAAACGAUGCCAGCCAGCGAUGCGCCGAAGUUCCUCCGAUGACUCGGCGCGCAGCUUCCGGGAAACCAAAGCUUUUGGGUUCCGGGG